rnacentral:rRNA from 1 species
AAUGGGUCAGCGACUUAUAUUCUGUAGCAAGGUUAACCGAAUAGGGGAGCCGAAGGGAAACCGAGUCUUAACUGGGCGUUAAGUUGCAGGGUAUAGACCCGAAACCCGGUGAUCUAGCCAUGGGCAGGUUGAAGGUUGGGUAACACUAACUGGAGGACCGAACCGACUAAUGUUGAAAAAUUAGCGGAUGACUUGUGGCUGGGGGUGAAAGGCCAAUCAAACCGGGAGAUAGCUGGUUCUCCCCGAAAGCUAUUUAGGUAGCGCCUCGUGAAUUCAUCUCCGGGGGUAGAGCACUGUUUCGGCAAGGGGGUCAUCCCGACUUACCAACCCGAUGCAAACUGCGAAUACCGGAGAAUGUUAUCACGGGAGACACACGGCGGGUGCUAACGUCCGUCGUGAAGAGG